rnacentral:lncRNA from 10 species
UUUGUCUCAAAAAAAACAAACAAACAAACAAACAAAAAACAAACUACAACUUCCUUACAAGACAUAAUGACUUCUUUUCUCCAUAAAUGUCUCUAGUAUUAGUUACAUGAUUGUAUAAUCUUCUACCUUAUUUUAACUUGUCAUAGCUAUAUAUCUGUGAAGAAAAUAGAAGAGCUAAUGAAUAUGAUUUCAAGAAAGCUUUGGACUUGUUGGAAUAUAUUGAUGAGGAAGAAGAUAUAAAUAUAAAUGAUCUAAAACUGGAAAUCCUUUGCAAAGCUCUUCAGAGAGAUAACUGGUCCAGUUCUGAUGGCAAAGAUGAUCCAAUUGAAGUAUCUAAAGACAGUAUAUUUGUGAAGAUCUUACAGAAACUUUUAAAAGAUGGCAUUCAGCUCAGUGAGUACUUACCGGAGGUGAAAGACCUGCUACAAGCGGAUCAGCUUGGAAGCUUAAAGUCCAAUCCUUACUUCGAGUUUGUUUUGAAAGCAAAUUAUGAAUAUUAUGUUCAGGGACAAAUAUAACUUUUUCUAAAAAUGGCCAUUGUUUAUGAAAUCUGUAUAAGUGUGUCCUUAUACAAAUUUUAGGCCAUAAACAAGUGUAAGUUUGUACAAUUUCAUAACAUGUAUAGCUGAGUUUUUAUACUUUA